GACAGAGGGUGCAAACGUUGUUCGGAAUUACUGGGCGUAAAGCGUGCGCAGGCGGCGCGUUAAGACAGGUGUGAAAGCCCCGAGCUUAACUUGGGAAUUGCGCUUGUGACUGGCGUGCUGGAGUGUGGCAGAGGGAGGUGGAAUUCCACGUGUAGCAGUGAAAUGCGUAGAGAUGUGGAGGAACAUCGAUGGCGAAGGCAGCCGCCUGGGCCAGCACUGACGCUCAUGCACGAAAGCGUGGGGAGCAAACAGG
rnacentral:rRNA from 1 species